rnacentral:rRNA from 1 species
GCAAGGAAUUUUCCGCAAUGGGGGCAACCCUGACGGAGCAACGCCGCGUGAGGGAAGAAGUCUUUCGGGAUGUAAACCUCUUUUCAGUGGGAAGACGAAAAAGAGGACGGUACCACUGGAAUAAGCAUCGGCUAACUACGUGCCAGCAGCCGCGGUAAUACGUAGGAUGCAAGCGUUGUCCGGAAUUAUUGGGCGUAAAGAGCGAGCAGGCGGUCUGGAAAGUUGGACGUGAAAUUUUAGGGCUUAACCCUAAAGGGUCGUCCAAAACUCCCAGACUAGAGUGCAGGAGAGGAAAGCGGAAUUCCCGGUGUAGUGGUGAAAUGCGUAGAUAUCGGGAGGAACACCAGAGGCGAAGGCGGCUUUCUGGCCUGUAACUGACGCUGAGGCGCGAAGGCUGGGGUAGCGAAC